GUUGAAGGGCUCAAAACAACGAAGCCCAUCAUAAAAAAAAAAAAAUUAGCGGUUAAGAUAGGAUUCGAUUAGGUCAGAAAUACUCACCCCUGACCCCUCCUACCCUUGAUUGUCACCCAUCUGAAACGCUAAAAUCACUUUCUUUUCCAUUUAAAGCUCAUCUCCUUCUCUUUCUCGCCCUCUGAUGAACGUUUCUCUCUCAACCAUUGCGACGAGUGCUCCCUUCACACUACUAAACUCAACAACUCCUCCGAUCUCUGCGUCUCCUUCGCUUUACUAUCAAAGCUUGAAGCAUUUGAUAACUGAAAGACACCUGAAAACCUAUAAAUAGAAGAGGGUUGAGACUGGAAUCUAGCAUCUCAUACACGGUCUUUGAGAUUCUCUUUCGUCAAACCUUAGAUCACUUUCCUCCACUGCAAUUGCUACUCAAUCUGCUGCUCCACACACCGGCCACCAAAUUUUAUUUUUAGCUGAGCAUUGCUGCCAUCAAAGCUUUCAAAACCAGAUGGAAACGACAAUCACCGGAGGGAUACGUACGCUUGAGAGGUGCGGCAACUGAGCUUUUCCCAUGUGUAGAGACAAUGGUAGAGAUUCAAAAGAAAGAAUUUGUGACAAAUGGAGCCAUACCUCUCCAAGUAAAACGCACAUCCAGGGAGCUGACUUCCUGAGCAGGAUCGUCAGUGUGCUGCAGAAAAAUGGAGAGCCUUAUCUUUCUUUAGUUGGACAAAUCACAGACUUCGCUCCGGUUCAACAAAUGUGUCUCACCAAACCUGUGUUAUCAGGUUACGUGUUGAGCUAGCUGGUGACGAUGGUGAAGACAGUGCUAUGUUUGUCGUGUUUUACACAAAAAUGACGCAACUCACCUAGAUAGAAGCAGCCUCACUGGCUCUUGAGAGAUUCGAUUGACACCCUACAAUUUCACUCCCAACCACCUCACCUUCACGGUGUCUGCAAUUACUGAAGACGUGGCUGUGAAGACUCAUUCAAGGGUGAAAGCAUCAACAAGUCCUACAAGCGGCAGGCCAGAGUGACAACCAUCCACCUGAUUCUGGCAUCCCACUGUGAGUGAAUCUUAGAAGUGUGUGAAGCCAUCGUUCUUACCAAGUUUUCUUCUCAUUCGUUGCAAACUCUAUCCAAUAAGUUUUUCCCUUUGUUUCAGUUUCUCAUGUUUAUCUUUUUUUUUUAAAUUCUGCAACAAGUUCCUGCUGAAGAAAAUAAAAGUUUCUACUGGGAGCAGUGUUAUUUUCAUUUUAGUGAAGGGAAGCUUGAAAGCUAUUUACAUAUUUACAAACAUUGUCUGUUAUCUAUAUACUUUAUACACCUUACAUAGAUUUUAUACUA